rnacentral:lncRNA from 10 species
UGCCUGUACUCCCAGCUACUCGGGAGGCUGAGGCAGGAGAAUCGCUUCAACACAGGAGGCGGAGGUUGCAGUGAGCUGAGAUCGCACCACUGCACUCCAGCCUGGGCGACAGAGUGAGACUCUGUCUCAAAACAAAACAAACGAUUAACCAGGUGUGGUGGCGCAUGCCUGUACUCCCAGCUACUCGGGAGGCUGAGGCAGGAGAAUCGCUUCAACACAGGAGGCGGAGGUUGCAGUGAGCUGAGAUCGCACCACUGCACUCCAGCCUGGGCGACAGAGUGAGACUCUGUCUCAAAACAAAACAAACGAUUAACCAGGUGUGGUGGCGCAUGCCUGUAAUCCCAGCUACUGGAGAGGCUGAGGCAGGAGAAUCGCUUCAACACAGGAGGCGGAGGUUGCAGUGAGCUGAGAUCGCACCACUGCACUCCAGCCUGGGCGACAGAGUGAGACUCUGUCUCAAAACAAAACAAACGAUUAACCAGGUGUGGUGGCGCAUGCCUGUAAUCCCAGCUACUUGAGAGGCUGAGGCAGGAGAAUCGCUUCAACACAGGAGGCGGAGGUUGCAGUGAGCUGAGAUCGCACUACUGCACUCCAGCCUGGGCGACAGAGUGAGACUCUGUCUCAAAACAAAACAAACGAUUAACCAGGUGUGGUGGCGCAUGCCUGUACUCCCAGCUACUCGAGAGGCUGAGGCAGGAGAAUCGCUUCAACACAGGAGGCGGAGGGUGCAGUGAGCUGAGAUCGCACCACUGCACUCCAGCCUGGGCGACAGAGUGAGACUCUGUCUCAAAACAAAACAAACGAUUAACCAGGUGUGGUGGCGCAUGCCUGUACUCCCAGCUACUCGAGAGGCUGAGGCAGGAGAAUCGCUUCAACACAGGAGGCGGAGGUUGCAGUGAGCUGAGAUCGCACCACUGCACUCCAGCCUGGGCGACAGAGUGAGACUCUGUCUCAAAACAAAACAAACGAUUAACCAGGUGUGGUGGCGCAUGCCUGUAAUCCCAGCUACUCGGGAGGCUGAGGCAGGAGAAUCGCUUCAACACAGGAGGCGGAGGUUGCAGUGAGCUGAGAUCGCACCACUGCACUCCAGCCUGGGCGACAGAGUGAGACUCUGUCUCAAAACAAAACAAACGAUUAACCAGGUGUGGUGGCACAUGCCUGUAAUCCCAGCUACUUGAGAGGCUGAGGCAGGAGAAUCGCUUCAACACAGGAGGCAGAGGUUGCAGUGAGCUGAGAUCGCACUACUGCACUCCAGCCUGGGCGACAGAGUGAGACUCUGUCUCAAAACAAAACAAACGAUUAACCAGGUGUGGUGGCGCAUGCCUGUACUCCCAGCUACUCGAGAGGCUGAGGCAGGAGAAUCGCUUCAACACAGGAGGCGGAGGGUGCAGUGAGCUGAGAUCGCA